AAAAUAUAGAAAAGGAACUCGGCAAAAUUCUACCUUAACUGUUUACCAAAAACAUAGCCUUAAGUUUUAUUUAAGGUGACGCCUGCCCAGUGCUGUGAGAAGUAAACGGCCGCAGUACCUUGACUGUGCUAAGGUAGCAUAAUCAGUUGGCUUUUAAAUGGAGUCGGGAAUGAAUGGAUUAAUAGGGUAAAGCUGUCUCUUUUGUACUAUAUUGAACUUACUUAUUAGGUGAAAAUGCCUAAAUUUAGAAAAAAGACGAGAAGACCCCAGGAGUUUUUACUA
rnacentral:ncRNA from 1 species